rnacentral:rRNA from 1 species
GACGAACGCUGGCGGCGUGCUUAACACAUGCAAGUCGAGCGGUAAGGCCCUUUCGGGGGUACACGAGCGGCGAACGGGUGAGUAACACGUGGGUGACCUGCCCUCAGCUCUGGGAUAAGCCUGGGAAACCGGGUCUAAUACUGGAUAUGACUCCAUGACGCAUGUUGUGGGGUGGAAAGCCUUGUGCGGCUGAGGAUGGGCCCGCGGCCUAUCAGCUUGUUGGUGGGGGAUGGCCUACCAAGGCGACGACGGGUAGCCGGCCUGAGAGGGCGACCGGCCACACUGGAACUGAGACACGGCCCAGACUCCUACGGGAGGCAGCAGUGGGGAAUCUUGCGCAAUGGGCGAAAGCCUGACGCAGCGACGCCGCGUGAGGGAUGACGGCCU